GUCCAACAGCUCGCAGUCACACCUGUUAGGUGUUUCUCCACUCCGCGUCUCCGCCCAGCUAGCAACCCCCGCACCGCCUGGGACCCGGGUGCAGAGCGGGUGAAAAAGGACCGAGAAGUGGGACCCGGCCUUCUGAAAUAGACCCCCCCGAGACUCGGGACUCGGCGCGCCAGGCCGGCGCGGGGAGGGGGGCCUGCGAAGGCGGGAGAGGUCGGACAGGGGUAAGGGAAGGCCUGGGGAAGGGCCGUUACUGCUCGCGUUACGCUUCCAGAGCCUGCGGCAGAGGCGGCGGGGCUGAGCCGCCUAGGGGAUGGUGCUCGUACCAGCCUCUGCGUUUCUCCUCGAAGCCCGGCCUCGCCUCCCCUCGCCCAGCCGCCGCUCUAGUUAGGCCGCGCAGAGUAAGCGCGGGCGUCGCCGGCCGCACGUCGCCCGGGACUGGUGAGGAGGGCGCGACAGGGGCAAGGCAGGGGACUCUGCAAGCCAGGCGGCCCUAGCAUCCCCCAAGCGCACAAACCCCGGCUGUACGGGACCGCGGCCGGGACCGCGACCAGGACGGAGCUCCCCGCUCGCCCCCCGGAGACCGGCAGCGACCGGGAGGCAACGCGGGGCUCCGCCGCUCGACUCGCAG
rnacentral:lncRNA from 1 species